rnacentral:rRNA from 1 species
GAUGAACGCUGGCGGCGUGCCUAAUACAUGCAAGUCGAGCGAACAGAUGAGGAGCUUGCUCCUCUGACGUUAGCGGCGGACGGGUGAGUAACACGUGGAUAACCUACCUAUAAGACUGGGAUAACUUCGGGAAACCGGAGCUAAUACCGGAUAAUAUAUUGAACCGCAUGGUUCAAUAGUGAAAGACGGUUUUGCUGUCACUUAUAGAUGGAUCCGCGCCGCAUUAGCUAGUUGGUAAGGUAACGGCUUACCAAGGCAACGAUGCGUAGCCGACCUGAGAGGGGUGACCGGCAACCGUGAAACUGGAACCGGGUCCGACCCCUUAGGGGGGGAAGAAGAAGGAAACUUUCCGAAAUGGGCGAAACCUUACCGAGGAAACGCGGGGGAGGUGAGGAAGUUUUUCGGUUUGUAAAACUUUUUUUUUAGGGAAGAAAAAAUGUUAAAUAAACUUUCCCAGUUUUGAGGGAACUAAUCAGAAAGGCCCGGGUAAACUCCGG